GCUCCUUGGUUUUAAGGCUGAGAAGGACUCUGCCAGCACGGAGCCAUACUACUGCCUCUCAGACUUCAUUGCUCCCUUGCAUUCUGGCAUCCGUGACUACCUGGGCCUGUUUGCCGUUGCCUGCUUUGGGGUAGAAGAGCUGAGCAAGGCCUAUGAGGAUGAUGGUGACGACUACAGCAGCAUCAUGGUCAAGGCGCUGGGGGACCGGCUGGCAGAGGUAAGGCAGAGGCAUCGCGCCGAGGGGCUGAGGACAGAGGCCAGGCAGUAGGGAGCCUGGGGUGGGUACCUGAAGACUGAUCAGCCCUUAGAACCAGUGUCUUUUUUUUUUUUUUCUUGAGUUGGAUGCUGCUGGCUUUAACAUUAUACGUAUUUUAAUAUUAUGUAUCCCCAGAUUGCUUGUGUACAUUAUCUUUGAGGCAAAGAAAAACCUUGAAUGGUGCCACAGUUGGCUGUUGCUCUUAGAGCCUUUAUCUCUACCUUAUCUCUGUUGUCUCUGUUGGCUUGUUGUGAUGUGACAUUUUCCUCAGUAUCCCAAAAAAUUAAAAACAAAUUUUUAUUUCAGAGCCCCUCAUUGUAAUGCUGGUGUCAUCUAUAGAUUCUUCAUCUUCCUCUGCAUGGAAUGAGGGUAGUAGCCUUUGCCCUGGGGAGAGCCUCUCCCUUUUCCUGCAGUGAACAGUGGAGGAACUAGCAGCUGUAUGGUCCCAGCUGCUCUUUCUGGCCCGUGGAGCUUUGGAUUGACCUUUAGGGAAAUCGUUAAUUUUAAGGUCUAAAAUCUUUAGGUCAUUAAGUAUGGUCCUUCAGAGCUCAGGUUAAGGCCAAAAUUGAGCUGCAGAGCAGCAGCUGAUGAAAGUACAAACCAAUCAAGAAUCCAGCCUGUUUCCUCUUGCCAAAUUUCCCCUGGCUGUGGUCCAGAUGAGGGAGGGUGUCCUCAUGGUUCUAAUUCAGGGGGUGGAGGCUGCACUGAUGCUGUGAGCCCCUGCGUCUGCCUAAGCAUGCCUGCUGCUUUGGGUCCCAAGGCCUUUGCAGAAGAGCUCCAUGAAAGAGUUCGCCGAGAACUGUGGGCCUACUGUGGCAGUGAGCAGCUGGACGUCGCAGACCUGCGCAGGCUGCGGUACAAGGGCAUCCGCCCGGCUCCUGGCUACCCCAGCCAGCCCGACCACACCGAGAAGCUCACCAUGUGGAGACUCGCAGACAUCGAGCAGUCUACAGGCAUUAGGUUAACAGAAUCAUUAGCAAUGGCACCUGCUUCAGCAGUCUCAGGCCUCUACUUCUCCAAUUUGAAGUCCAAAUAUUUUGCUGUGGGGAAGAUUUCCAAGGAUCAGGUUGAGGAUUAUGCGUUGAGGAAGAACAUAUCUGUGGCUGAGGUUGAGAAAUGGCUUGGACCCAUUUUGGGAUAUGAUACAGACUAACUUUUUUUUUUUUUUUUGCCUUUUUUAUUCUUGAUGAUCCUCAAGGAAAUACAACCUAGGGUGCCUUAAAAAUAACAACAAAAAAAAACCUGUGUGCAUCUGGCUGACACUUCCCUGCUUCUGGUUUUCGAAGACUAUUUAGUGGAACCUUGUAGAGGAGCAGGGUCUUCCUGCAGUGCCUGGAAAACAGGCGCUGUUUUUUUGGGACCUUGCGUGAAGAGCAGUGAGCAGGGUUCCUGUGGUUUCCCUGGUCCCUCUGAGAUGGGGACAGACUGAAGACAGAGGUCGUUUGAUUUCAAAGCAAGUCAACCUGCUUUUUUCUGUUUUUACAGUGGAAUCUAGGAGGCCACUUAGUCGUCUUUUUUUCCUCUUAGAAGAAAAGCCUGAAACUGAGUUGAAUAGAGAAGUGUGACCCUGUGACAAAAUGAUACUGUGAGAAAUGGGGCAUUUUAAUCUAAGUGGUUAUAACAGUGGAUUCUGACGGGGAAGGUGUAGCUCUGUUCUCUUCGGAAGACCUCAUUUUCUAAAGGCUGGACUAAAUGGUUGCAGAACUCCCUUUGGCAAAAGGCAUGCGCUCACUGCUUGCUUGUCAGAAACACUGAAGCCAUUUGCCCCAGUGUGGUCAAGCAGCCAUGCUUUCUGGGCAUUUUCGUCCUCCCAUAAUUUCGUAUUUCCGUACCCCUGAGGAAACAAAAAGGAAAUGAGGAGAGAAAGUUACUGUUAAGGGUGGUUAACAUUUUUUUUGUUUUGUUUUGUUUUGGUUUUUUUUUUGAGACAGAGUCUGGCUCUGUCGCCCAGGCUGGAGUGCAGUGGCACAAUCUCGGCUCACAGCAAGCUCCGCCUCCUGGGUUCGUGCCAUUCUCCUGCCUCAGCCUCCAGAGUAGCUGGGACUACAGGUGCCCGCCACCACACCCGGCUAAUUUUUUGUGUUUUUACAAAAUACAAAAAAGUAGAGACAGGAUUUCACUGUGUUAGCCAGGAUGGUCUUGAUCUCCCGACCUCGUGAUCUGCCCACCUCAGCCUCCCAAAAUGCUGGGAUUACAGGCGUGAGCCACCGAGCCUGGCCGGUUAACAUCUUUUAAUUGUUUCCAGGAUUGAGCAGGUUCUCAGCUGGGCUCUGAUAUCCCGUGCGGAGUUGGACAAGUGGGCAGCAUAAAGUCACUCAUUUCUUACCAUUUUAUUCCCCUCAAUUCUCAGUAUAUUCAGUAAUGAAGAAUGGUGCCACCACUCAAGCAACAAGCCUCAAACUCACCCAUGUCAUCUUUUUCUUGGAUGAUUGCAGUUAUUUCAAAAAUUUGCAUGCAAAAUAUACACUCAUCCUACUUCAAGAUGGUGGUGGCAAUAGUCAGGAGAAGGUAGCAUUGGAGUCCUGGUUUGAUUCGAAGGAUGAAGACGAAGAAGCAAGGGAGGAACAAAUGAAGAACCAUCUUUGUUCAUGAAUAGGAAUAUUAAAGAUUAUAAAGGUAUCAGGUCUCCUAAAAUUGAUCUAUGGAUUUAAUACCAUUUUCAAUGGAAAUUCCAACAGAUUUUAUUGAAUGAAACAAGCAGGUGUUUAUAUGGAGUAGCAAAGGACUUAAAAUUACCAAAUGCUUCUAAAUAUGAAGGAGAGGUUGAGGACACGCACCCUAUGUGAUACCAAGUUUUAUUGUCAAGACAGUGUCAUGGUGCAGAGGUCGGCAUUCUGAGCAGGGGAACAAAAUAAGGGCCUAGAAACUCACCCAUGCAUAUGUUGACCUUUGCAAAAUGACCUGGUGACAUGGCAAGUCAGUGGGGACAGGAAGGACCACUCCCUAAGUAAUCCCAGAACAAUGGCUAUUCAUGUGGGAAAAAAAGAAAUUUUACUUUCUCUCACCUUACCUGGUGAUAAGUUCCAAAUAUGUUAAGGGCUUUAAUACAAAAAGCAAAAAUUGUCAGUGUUUGGAUGAAAAAAGCCUUAGGGCAGGAAAGAAUCUCUUGAGACAUAAAGUAGUAAUCAUAAAGGACAAGAUGGUUAAGUCAAUUCUGUUAAAACUCAAGGCUUAUAUUAAGCAAACACUUGAAGUGAGAAGAUGAUCCACAACUUGAGAAGACGUUUAUAAUACAAAUAACUGAUGAAGGAUUCAUAAUCACAAAUAUAGAGAAUUCCUAUUUAAAAAAAUAGAAAAAUAGUGAAGACUACACAAGAGGAAAUAGGGCUUUUAAAUAAAUAGAUGUUCUGUAGCAUUGGUCAGGGAAAUAUGAAUUAGGACCACAAUGAGAUUCCAUUUUAUAUCCAUAAGAUUUGCAAAGGUUGGGUCUGACAGUACCAGUUGUUAGAUCUGUAGGGACUUGUACAACAUUGUGGAUGUGUAAACAGGCACCACUGCUUUAAAAAAACAAUUAUCCCUUACAGACUUGAACAUUUGCAGACCUUAUGAUCUUGCUUCCAACUCCCACCUGUAUGUCCAGCAAACUCUUGCAUGUGGCCACUAGGAGGAAUGUGUAAGAAUGUUCAUAGUUACAUAUUUAUAAUAGUUAAUAACUGGAAAAAGUGAAAUGUAUGUCUGUCUACAGGAAAAUAGGUGAAUAAUAUAUAUAUUCUACGGGAUAUUAUUCAGUAGUGGAAAUGAGUGAACUACAGCUAUACCUCACAAUAAGAAUGAAUCUCAGAAAAUAUUAAGGAAAAAAGCAAGUUUGAAGAGACCACAUGGGGCGUACUAUUUUUAUUGAGCCCAAAAACAAGCAAAACCAAAGAAUAUAUAGUCUAAGCAUACGUAUACAAUAAAACUAUGCUAUU
rnacentral:sRNA from 1 species